UAUAAACACCAGGCAUUAUCAGUUUCUUGACAUCUCAGAAUUUUAUAAAAUUUUAUAACCAAAUGCUCUGCAGGGUGCAGCUUUAUACGACUGCAGAGGUCGAACCCUGAACAGUUGAGGCAAGUAUGGACACAACAUUUAAGCUUGAUACAGCUUUGAAUUUGGAUUGUGAUUAAAUAGUUGACACAACAUAGGUUUCUGACACAGAAUGAAUGUGGUCU
rnacentral:lncRNA from 1 species